UUAAAGGCAGUGCUUUAAUGCCUUUCUAGUUGCCGGGUUAAUCCUUCCUUCCGCGAUAUCCAACUUAUCUACGUGGGGGGUCAUUAGGCUCCAAGUAGAUCCGGAAAUGUUGAAUUCUCUCCUCUUCUUAUUGUGAUAUAAAAUGUUUUUUGUUUCAUUUCAUUUACAUUGGGAAAUAGAGAAACGAUCAUUGUGUUUUGUUAGUUUUAAAAACUUUUGAUAUAUUUGUAUUUUGCAUUAUAAGCAGUCAACCGAUUGACAAACUAGAAUUAUUUGAAUUCCGUGUGGAAAGAGCUCGGGUUAAUUUCGAGUGUUAUCUGCAAUCUAGAUGUUUAUAAAUCAUUUCAGUCGUUGAUAUAAUAAUUAAGAGUCGACUGAACAUUAAUUAUAUUAUACAAUUUAAAGCGCAUUUCUGUUUAUGCACGUGAACCCGUCUAACGUUAUUGUUAUUCCGCAGUUAUAUAAAGUAGCAAAUUAUCGUUCCUGAAUAGGUGGCGCCGUGGUAGCCGAUCCUGUUCCUCAACUUCCGGUUUCUGCACUGUGCAACUAUUUCAGUUACAUUUUAAAUUAACGAUGCCAAGUACUUGUUGUUGUGUACCUGGAUGUCAUUUAAGAGAAGGACAUGCAUUUCCAAAUGACUUAAAAAGAAGGAAAAGUUGGAUCAACGCCAUGGCCCAAACGCAGAUUGGACGAGAACACGAUUUCAUCGUGGAGUCCAUCUCAAUCAGCUGUUGUUUGCAAGGCACAUUUUACUGAAAAAGACUACGUGCAGGAAACUAUUCAUGGGCGCAAACCCACCAUAUGUACAGAGACCUAAGUCUACUGCCAUUCCCAGCCUAUUUUCCUGGACCAAGCAAGAGACUGAAUCGUCCGCAAAAAGAAAAAUCAGGGCAGUUUCCUGUGAAAACAAAAGAACUAAACUUGAUGAAUAUUGUAGUAGAAAUCUAGAGGAAAGUUUUGAUUGUAAAGUUGGUUUUCCUGAAGAAGUCAUUCAUACUGCAGAAAGGAUUUAUGACUGUCCACCACCAACUGCUGAGCUAAUGUUGAGCUUCAAAGAUGGAAUUACGCAAACACCAUCAAUGUCUAUGUUUUCAGCAGAGAAUUUUGAAAUGAAGACACGUGACACAGCCAUGCAUUUUUAUACCAGUUUAGAGUUGUAUACUAAAUUUUUAUUUGUUUUGACCACACUUGGUCCAACAGCACAUAAUACAAAAUGUAGUUCAAUUAUGUGAUCCAGGUGACAGUGUGAUGGCAGACAAAGGUUUAAAUGUGCAAGAUUUGUUUGCUAACUUUUUUCAAAAAAGAAACAGAAUUAGUUCCAAAACUCUUAUACGGGAUAGAAAAGUCUCCAAUUAACAUGUGCACAUAGAGCGAAUUAUUGGACUUGGCACAACAUACAAAAUUCUAACAAAUCCUAUGAAUGGAACUGAAACAAAACUUUCAUCUGAAAUAACAUUUAGUUGUUUUAUGUUGUGUAAUUUUAAAACUUGUAUUGUGCCAAAGGAUGCAGAAAUAAAAGUGACGCAAUGAA